rnacentral:rRNA from 1 species
UACAGAGGUCUCAAGCGUUUGUUCGGAUUCAUUGGGCGUAAAGGGUGCGUAGGUGGCGCGGUAAGUCGGGUGUGAAAUUUCGGAGCUUAACUCCGAAACUGCAUUCGAUACUGCCGUGCUUGAGGACUGGAGAGGAGACUGGAAUUACGGUGUAGCAGUGAAAUGCGUAGAUAUCGUAAGGAAGACCAGUGGCGAAGGCGGGUCUCUGGACAGUUCCUGACACUGAGGCACGAAGGCCAGGGGAGCAAACGGG